UGGGGAAUCUUGGACAAUGGGCGCAAGCCUGAUCCAGCCAUGCCGCGUGAGUGAUGAAGGCCCUAGGGUUGUAAAACUCUUUCGUGGGGGACGAUAAUGACGGUACCCCAAGAAGAAGCUCCGGCUAACUUCGUGCCAGCAGCCGCGGUAAUACGGAGGGUGCGAGCGUUAAUCGGAAUUACUGGGCGUAAAGCGUGCGUAGGCGGCCCGUCAAGUCAGAUGUGAAAGCCCCGGGCUCAACCUGGGAACGGCAUUUGAAACGGGCGGGCUGGAGUUGGGUAGAGGGGAGCGGAAUUCCGGGUGUAGCGGUGAAAUGCGUAGAUAUCCGGAGGAACACCAGUGGCGAAGGCGGCUCCCUGGACCCAAACUGACGCUGAGGCACGAAAGCGUGGGUAGCAAACAGGAUUAGAUACCCCUGUAGUCCCUGAGCGGGCUGGCAAGGCGCAU
rnacentral:rRNA from 1 species